UUUAUAGUGUGUGUGUGUGUGUGUGUGUGUGUGUGUGUGUGUGUGUGUGUGUGUGCGUAUGAGUGGCAUCAACACUUUUAAGCAAUAUUUUAUCAUUUACAGCAGCCUGGUAUAUUGUGCAAGCUCUGUGUUGAUAGAGUCAGGAUAAUGCUUUCUGCUCCAAGUUCAGCAUCUCCAGUUCAAUUCCAUCAUGUGUAUAAAAGUUUAGGACAGACAGCGCGGGGGUGGACAAAUAAUUAAAUUGAUUAGCGAGUCACUGGGCAAGUAAAAGCGCUGGUGUGCUACCCAGUCAAAGGUUUCGAUUCCCCAGUAAUUUAACUGGUUAGGCUAAAAAGUUGUAGCUGACAUGCUAGUUAGCUGGCUGGUUAUGACUCAGCCUUAGUCAUUAUCCUUUUUUAGAAUGUGUCCAAUGUAGGACAUCCUGUUUGUGACCUCGAGAAAAUUUCAGCAAGUCGCUGGUCAACACUUUGGCUAUAAGUAGGAAAGUUAUACGACAGCUUUAAGCUAUACUUUAUUUUGCUCUAUUGUGAGUUUAAACAUUUCAAAAUGAUAUGUUAACUUGAAUUCAUGAGUAACUCAUUAAGGAAUGAGGUAUUUUUUGAAACGAGAUAACUCGAAAUGACAACAUAUCUUGAAACUAGAUCACCUGAAAUAAUAAUGUAAUAUCUUGAUGUAACAGGUUGAGAACUCUAAAUAACUGCAAAUCCUGAAACUCGAAAUAAUGACAUAUUUUAAAACGAGAUAACUCAAAAUUAUGGUGUAACAUCUUGAAAUGAGAUGACCAGAAAUAAUGAAUUAUCUUGAAAUGAGAUGACCAGAAAUAAUGGCAUAUCUUGAACUGAGAUAACCAGAAAUAAUUACAUAUCUUGAAAGAACAUAACUCGAAAUAACAUCUUGAAUUGAGAUAACCAGAUAUAUCAACAUAUCUUGAAACAAGAUAACUCAAAAUAACAUCUAAAAUGAGAUAACCAGAAAUAACAACAUAUCUUGAAACGAGAUAACCAGAAAUAGCGACAUGUUUUGAAACAAGAUAACCAGAAAUAACAACAUAUCUUGAAACGAGAUAACCAGAAAUAGCGACAUGUUUUGAAACGAGAUAACCAGAAAUAAUGAAUUAUCUUGAAACGAGAUAACCAGAAAUAAUGAAUUAUCUUGAAACGAGAUAACCAGAAAUAGCGACAUGUUUUGAAACGAGAUAACCAGAAAUAAUUAUAUAUCUUGAAACAAGAUAACUCGAAAUAACAUCUAGAAUCAGCUAACCAGAAAUAACAACAUAUCUUGAAACGAGAUAACCAGAAAUGUCGACAUGUUUUGAAACGAGAUAACCAGAAAUAAUGAAUUAUCUUGAAACGACAUAACCAGAAAUAAUGAAUUAUCUUGAACUGAGAUAAGAAGAAAUAAUAACACAUCUUCAAAUGAGCUAUCCAGAAAUAAUUGCAUAUCUUGAAAUAACAUAACAACUUGAAAUAACGAUAUAAUACCUAUUGAUAUGAUGCCUUUAUAAUGAGUCAAGUUGAAAUAACAAAAUAACGAGAUCUUAAGUUAAAACAAUGUCUUGAAAUAACGAAAUAUUAAGCCGAAAUUACAAGAAAAUAUUUUGAAAUAACCAGUUCUUUGGUCCAGUUGAAGUCAAAAUAAUGACAUGGC
ensembl:lncRNA